CUGCUAUCGGAUUGAUACUAAGCCAUGCGAGUCAUUGCAGUAAUGCAAGGCAGACGGCUCAGUAACGCGUAGUCAACCUACCCUAUGGACGGGAAUAACCUCGGGAAACUGAGUAUAAUGCCCGAUAGAACACUAUUCCUGGAAUGGUUUGUGUUCCAAAUGAUUUAUCGCCGUAGGAUGGGACUGCGGCCUAUCAGUUUGUUGGUGAGGUAAUGGCCCACCAAGACUAUUACAGGUACGGGCUCUGAGAGGAGUAGCCCGGAGAUGGGUACUGAGACACGGACCCAGGCCCUAUGGGGCGCAGCAGGCGAGAAAACUUUGCAAUGUGCGAAAGCACGACAAGGUUAAUCCGAGUGGUUUGUGCUAAACGAACCUUUUGACAGUCCUAGAAACACUGUUGAAUAAGGGGUGGGCAAGUUCUGGUGUCAGCCGCCGCGGUAAAACCAGCACCUCAAGUGGUCAGGAUGAUUAUUGGGCCUAAAGCAUCCGUAGCCGGCUCUGUAAGUUUUCGGUUAAAUCUGUACGCUCAACGUACAGGCUGCCGGGAAUACUGCAGAGCUAGGGAGUGGGAGAGGUAGACGGUACUCGGUAGGAAGGGGUAAAAUCCUUUGAUCUAUUGAUGACCACCUGUGGCGAAGGCGGUCUACCAGAACACGUCCGACGGUGAGGGAUGAAAGCUGGGGGAGCAAACCGGAUUAGAUACCCGGGUAGUCCCAGCUGUAAACUAUGCAAACUCAGUGAUGCAUUGGCUUGUGGCCAAUGCAGUGCUGCAGGGAAGCCGUUAAGUUUGCCGCCUGGGAAGUACGUACGCAAGUAUGAAACUUAAAGGAAUUGGCGGGGGAGCACCACAAGGGGUGAAGCCUGCGG
rnacentral:rRNA from 1 species